rnacentral:rRNA from 1 species
UACGUAGGGUGCAAGCGUUGUCCGGAUUUAUUGGGCGUAAAGAGCUCGUAGGCGGUUUGGUAAGUUGGAUGUGAAAUCUCCAGGCUCAACUUGGAGGGGUCAUUCGAUACUGCCAUGACUAGAGUUCGGUAGGGGAGUGUGGAAUUCCUGGUGGAGCGGUGAAAUGCGCAGAUAUCAGGAGGAACACCGGUGGCGAAGGCGGGUCUCUGGGCCUUACCUGACGCUGAGGAGCGAAAGCGUGGGGAGCGAACAGG